ACCAGAUCAUAGUGGACGUGGUUGGCAUGGAUCAAGAAAGCAGGUGAUGAAAGAAUUUGGGGGGCAAAAGAGGUCCUAUUGCAUGGACCCACAACCUUUUGGCAGUUUAGAGUGGCAUUUAUACGAGUAUGAGCUCAACAGCUAUGAUGGUUACUUUUAUUUUUCGAUUUGCAAAGGGAGAAAAUGAAGCCGCUGAAAAGAAUCUAGAAAUUAUAGAAACUGAUGCUCAGAACUGGAUGUCAGAGAUCGAUAAAAUCACUGCAGAAGCUGAAAAUUCUUUGGAGGACGAAGUCAAAGCAAACAAGAGGUGUCUCAGUGAAUCCCAGACAACGUAACUAACUCAGUAAACAGUUCAAAGAAGCAUAAAACAAGUACUACUUGGACCUGAUUGGUUUGCUUGCAAACAAAUGACAAUUACAACCUGGUACUUAUAUGUACUUAAUUGGAUUGAUAAGUCUAAUUAAAUUAUCUUUCAGGAAUUGCAAUGACUGAGCAAGACCCCAUUUAAUUGGAUUUGUUUUUUCAAUAGGCAGUAUCUUUGUUCCAUUUGUUUUCUGAUGCAUUCUGGUAUAAGAUACCUUUGACUCUAGUGAGCCCCUUCAAAUUUACAGAGCAAGUAUGCCACCGAGACUUGAAAUUGGAAAACACUUUGUUGGACAGAAGACCAGCUCCUCGGUUAAAGAUAUGUGAUUUUGGGUACUCUAAGUUUUCUUCAGCCUUGGUUAACUUGCCAUAUGUUGUUGUUUUCCUGGACUACUAGGCAGAUUGGGAUAAAAGAGCUUUUGAUUUUGCUCCAGGAGUAUUGCUGAUCAAGAGUAUGAUGGCAAGAUAUACUUUUACAGCUUUAUUUAAACUAUUUUAUAACCAAAUAUAUCCCUUUGCAACCAUAGCCUUUUCAUUAAAGCUUGAAGGAAAAAUAUGUUUGAAUAUAUUUCAUUUGUUGGACAAGAUAUUUAAUGUGUAGUUGCCUGGUGCACCGCUUUUUAGUUAUGCAUAUUAAUGUGAUGAUAUCAUAUUGAUCCAUUUGUUCUCUUUGUGAC